GAUGAACGCUGGCGGCGUGCCUAAUACAUGCAAGUCGAGCGAACGGACGAGAAGCUUGCUUCUCUGAUGUUAGCGGCGGACGGGUGAGUAACACGUGGAUAACCUACCUAUAAGACUGGGAUAACUUCGGGAAACCGUAGCUAAUACCGGAUAAUAUUUUGAACCGCAUGGUUCAAAAGUGAAAGACGGUCUUGCUGUCACUUAUAGAUGGAUCCGCGCUGCAUUAGCUAGUUGGUAAGGUAACGGCUUACCAAGGCAACGAUGCAUAGCCGACCUGAGAGGCUGAUCGGCCACACUGGAACUGGGACACGGUCCAGACUCCUACGGGAGGCAGCAGUAGGGAAUCUUCCGCAAUGGGCGAAAGCCUGACGGAGCAACUCCGCGUGAGUGAUGAAGGUCUUCGGAUCGUAAAACUCUGUUAUUAGGGAAGAACAUAUGUGUAAGUAACUGUGCACAUCUUGACGGUACCUAAUCAGAAAGCCACGGCUAACUACGUG
rnacentral:rRNA from 1 species